CCUACGGGGGGCAGCAGUGAGGAAUAUUGGUCAAUGGACGAGAGUCUGAACCAGCCAAGUAGCGUGAAGGAUGACUGCCCUAUGGGUUGUAAACUUCUUUUAUAUGGGAAUAAAAUGUUCCACGUGUGGGAUUUUGUAUGUACCAUAUGAAUAAGGAUCGGCUAACUCCGUGCCAGCAGCCGCGGUAAUACGGAGGAUCCGAGCGUUAUCCGGAUUUAUUGGGUUUAAAGGGAGCGUAGGUGGAUUGUUAAGUCAGUUGUGAAAGUUUGCGGCUCAACCGUAAAAUUGCAGUUGAAACUGGCAGUCGUGAGUACAGUAGAGGUGGGCGGAAUUCGUGGUGUAGCGGUGAAAUGCUUAGAUAUCACGAAGAACUCCGAUUGCGAAGGCGGCAAUCUGGCUGGAAACUGACGCUGAGGUGCGAAAGCGUGGGUAUCGAACAGGAUUAGAUACCCCAGUAGUC
rnacentral:rRNA from 1 species